CCUACGGGAGGCAGCAGUAGGGAAUCUUCCGCAAUGGACGAAAGUCUGACGGAGCAACGCCGCGUGAACGAUGAAGGCCUUCGGGUCGUAAAGUUCUGUUGUUAGGGAAGAACAAGUGCUAGUUGAAUAAGCUGGCACCUUGACGGUACCUAACCAGAAAGCCACGGCUAACUACGUGCCAGCAGCCGCGGUAAUACGUAGGUGGCAAGCGUUGUCCGGAAUUAUUGGGCGUAAAGCGCGCGCAGGCGGUUUCUUAAGUCUGAUGUGAAAGCCCCCGGCUCAACCGGGGAGGGUCAUUGGAAACUGGGAAACUUGAGUGCAGAAGAGGAAAGUGGAAUUCCAAGUGUAGCGGUGAAAUGCGUAGAGAUUUGGAGGAACACCAGUGGCGAAGGCGACUUUCUGGUCUGUAACUGACGCUGAGGCGCGAAAGCGUGGGGAGCAAACAGGAUUAGAUACCCUGGUAGUCCACGCUGUAAACGAUGAGUGCUAAGUGUUAGAGGGUUUCCGCCUUUAGUGCUGAAGUUACGCAUUAAGCACUCCGCCUGGGGAGUACGGUCGCAAGCUGAAACUCAAAUUGAAUUGACGG
rnacentral:rRNA from 1 species